rnacentral:rRNA from 1 species
UACGUAGGGGGCGAGCGUUAUCCGGAAUUACUGGGCGUAAAGCGUGCGCAGGCGGUUUUGUAAGUCUGUUGUGAAAUCCCCGGGCUUAACCUGGGAAUUGCAAUGGAGACUGCAAGGCUGGAGUCUGGCAGAGGGGGGUAGAAUUCCACGUGUAGCAGUGAAAUGCGUAGAGAUGUGGAGGAACACCGAUGGCGAAGGCAGCCCCCUGGGUCAAGACUGACGCUCAUGCACGAAAGCGUGGGGAGCAAACAGG